GUGGGAGAGUGAGCAAAGAUAAUUUCAUGUCUUGCCUGAGAAAGAACCCUCUGUUGAUAGUGCUUUUUGCACCUUGUUUGGUGCGGACAGGCUCAUCAGAAGCUGGUGAUAGGAUGUUGCAAGAAAUUGUGUGAUGUGUUUAUUUCUGUAUUUGCACGCAAAACCCAACCCCACAUCCAACAAUUCAUACCCCCUUGAUAUUUCGGUUUUAUUUCAAUAGAAAAGAGGGGUGGGCGAGGGUGUCAAAAGGGUUAUUUUCAAACCUUUGUCACUCUUUUUAACAUAUGGUCAAGACAUGGUUUUGUACUUUACUAAUUAAAGUGUUAAUUUUACAUGCACAAUCCUGAAAUGCAAUGCUGUUUUGUUUGUUA
rnacentral:misc_RNA from 1 species